GUAGCAAGGUUAACCGUAUAGGGGAGCCGGAGGGAAACCGAGUCUUAACCGGGCGUUAAGUUGCAGGGUAUAGACCCGAAACCCGGUGAUCUAGCCAUGGGCAGGUUGAAGGUUGGGUAACACUAACUGGAGGACCGAACCGACUAAUGUUGAAAAAUUAGCGGAUGACCUGUGGCUGGGGGUGAAAGGCCAAUCAAACCGGGAGAUAGCUGGUUCUCCCCGAAAGCUAUUUAGGUAGCGCCUCGUGAAUUCAUCUCCGGGGGUAGAGCACUGUUUCGGCUAGGGGGCCAUCCCGGCUUACCAACCCGAUGCAAACUGCGAAUACCGGAGAAUGUUAUCACGGGAGACACACGGCGGGUGCUAACGUCCGUCGUGAAGAGGGAAACAACCCAGACCGCCAGCUAAGGUCCCAAAGUCAUGGUU
rnacentral:rRNA from 1 species